CGCGCCCCGGCCGCCAGCCGAGGCGGGGGCUCCUGUUCCUCCUCCCUGUCGCUGCCGGGGAGACCCUUGGGGGAUGUUUCCCUCUGGUCAAGCAGUUGUCGGCGGUGGUGGCUCUUACCGCGUCCUGCGCCUGGCUCCUGCCAGCAGUUUUGUCACCAGGUGGCGGGGCUGGAGACCCGCUCAGAAGUAAGGUUGUGGUGGCUUAUAGUUUUCAACACCUGCGAGGAGCUACCAGUGGAGGCUGACCAGCAGAUGGACACAUCCCUGCCAUUGUAGAACUUCGGGUCUGGCAGGGUGUGGAGACAAGCAUCCAGGACAAUUAACUGUGAUAUUUGUCCUACUUGGGGGCUUGAAACAAGAUCAGUUAUAGAAGCAACAGCAAGAGGACACAGUUAUUCUUUGCUGGAGUAGAAAGCCUUCCAGUAGGCACUCCUGGUCUUACUAUACUCCUUGCCCAUGAUAACAGCUACAAUUUUUAAAGUGUCUGCUAAGGCCAGGCUGUGUCCUAAUAGAAGAUAUUCUGGUGCAACUCACUGAAAGUUCUCUCCUUGAAAGCAUCUUUGCCCUGAUCCUAAGCUCAACCUGAACCAAACAUUCUGUUUUGUAUUUGUAUUAACCACUCUCUCCUUUGUGCCGUGCCUGGGUUGCAUGGGGUUUGCGCCCUCCUCAACAAAUGACUUCCCCUAUUGGAAACUUCAGCCCGAAAAGAAAUGCCUGACUCUUAGGUGAAACGUGAUCCUUCUGUGGCCAUAAACUUUAAACUCAGUUUAUUACGUUGGAGAGGUUUUUGGACAAGCCUUAAGGAAAUUAUAUCACACAAUCAUUGUUUUCUAAAGAACAGACUACAGGGAAGGAGAAUUGAUCUUACAGCAGCUGCAUUUGAUUUGGUAAAGCAACUAGGAGAAAAAAUAUCCAAGACUGUAAGAGCACAACAUGUUUAGCUGUAAAAGUGUUUUUCUGAAGAUCUCAUUCUCAUCUGCUAUCAUUUGCCUGUCCAAGGCCAAGGCAUUUACAGAUAUAUGUACCGUUUCCAAAAUGGAUAUGUAGACUCACUAGAAUGCUAAGACCAAAAGUAAGUGGUUCACUAUGAAAGACACAUUUUACGGUCAAGAACAGCCUGCUUUGGGAAAGAAAACCCUACAAACAUACGUGCUGGCAUUAAAUUUCAAGACUCCACGAAGGCAGGGAAAGGGUAGAAUUUUAACAUUGGAAAGGAUCAUCCAGUUGAAAUCUCUUGUUGAUACACAAAGCAUUUGAAAUCCAGAGAAGUUAGUGACUUACAUGAGGUCAUCCAGUUAGGUUGUGUCCUGGCUAAGUCUAGUUGUCAGAACGCUAGUCCCCAGAGCUCCUCCUCUAACACUGCUGUGUUCUCUUAAAUUUCUGGUCCUGUUUGGGACAUGAACAUGCCCAGUCGUAAUGCAGCCUAAGACUCCUAAUGACAUUGACAAGUGUUCUGUGUAGAUGACGUGUGAGUGGCACUUCCUGACUUUGAUGGAGUUAAAUGCAUUAUUUAAAUUGGUCAUAGAGGAAGAGGGUUUGUGUGUGUAUAACUGCUCUGGGGAUCUCUCUCUCUCUCUCAGAAAGGUAAUUGGACUAACCAUGGCUGUUCCUGCCAUCCAGGAAAUGACUGAAGCUCAACCAGAUAAAUCAAGGAUGCUGUGAUUUGGCCAGCCAUUAGUUUGUCUGAUGUGCUUCUAAACCGUAGUACUGAGUUCUCAGGGUUUAUGAGACUGAAGUCAUGGCACAAGUCACAUGGAGAGGUCACAUGUGCCUGACGCCUCUGCAUAAGGGCUGGGGUGGGAAAGUUACAUGGUGGGAGAAGUGACUAUAUGUUACACAGAUGGAGCAUGUGUGAUCGAGCACCUGGUCAAAGUAAACAUUCGUGUGCUCCACACAUCAGAAAACCAUUACUUUUAACCAGGAGGAAGAUUAUUCCUUAUCUUUUUCUUGCUAUAAAAUAAUCAACUUAGCAAAAGCUCACCAUGGGAAAACAUCAGGCAUUUUGUCCCUGGAUUUUCAGUUGGGGCCAAACAGAGGGAAUCAAAGCCCUAAAAUAACUUUUCUUGCCCUGGAAGAUGUGAGUGGGGCUGCAGGAAGUGGUAGGAGGCUGGGGUAAUGUUACUACCUGACCCAACAACAGGCUGGUUACACAGGCAGGCAGGCGGCUCUGGGCUAUUCUUUCAGUCCUUGUACCCUUGCAAUAAGGAGGCCUUCUACCUUUUCCCUGUACUUUAGGAGUGCAGUGGGGAAAGAGCGUGAUGCUUUCGUGGAUGACUUAAGUUAAAUAAAUUAGAUUUCUACCCUUGUUCCUUCUAUCCUUCCAUUACUUCCCAAAGUAUAGAGGCAAUAUAGAAUACUGCUUAUAAACCAGGAGUAUGUGAUGCGCCUCCUACAAUUCAGGUUCAUUAUCCCUUCUGGGACAGAAUUAAUGUACGGAAAUAGAAAACAUACCUGCGAGGUAAUCUGUGUGUGUGAUACCUUAAAUGUGAUGAUAUCCAUGUUGUUUGAAAGGCUUUCUCCUCUAAGGAGAGAGAACAGUAGGGGACACACACACACACACACACACACACA